rnacentral:lncRNA from 1 species
GGACUUUUGGUAUAGCAUUGGAAAUGUAAAUGAGCUAAAUACCUAAUAAAAAAUGGAAAAAAAAUAAUAAAAUCUAAAAAAAAAAAAGAAAAGAAAAGAAAAAAAGGACUGAGUCAGCUAGCUGGUUGUCAGUGUUUCCAAGGCGGAUGAACCUCUCUGCACCUUUGGCAAAAUGAAGGCUUAGCAAUUUGUUGAGCUCCCUUCUCCACUGCUGGCACCUAAAAUCAACAAUUGUGAAUCAAGGCAGACCUAUAGCUAUGGAGCUAACAUUAUUUGGACAGUGAUGCCAGUCAUGUGGGCCACAAUAGGCCUUUCUUUUUUGCAGUUUAUUUUCCCAAUGUCUUAGGAACUUUCGUAAUUUGCUUCUAUAUUACUUUAUAGAAUGGCAUAAAAAUAUCAUUCUUACUAACACAGACCCCUGUGCACUUCACCUUCUGAAAUUGUUUGUUUAAAUCAUCUUUCAUUGCUUACACUGUUCUCAAUUAUUUUUUGAGGGUUACAUAUCCCUUAGAAAAUACUGCACAUAUAUAUUGAAAAAAAAUUAGACCCUAUAUCAAAAGAUAAAAAAGUAAAUCUACCUGUCCUCUCCCUAAAAAAAACCAAUGUACUCUUGUAAAAUUUGUAAGUUUGCCACCAUUGUUAUUAGAGCAAAUGGGGCGUGUAUUAUAAAUUCAUCUCACAGUUUAUGUUAUUUGAACUGGUGGAUUUAUUUUUCAGUUCAAGUAAUAAAUGAACAUUUGUUCUAGUGUGAGAAGUGCUCUGUGCACCUUCCAUACACUGACUUAUUUGUGAAAGCAUCAAGAUCUAUUUUAUCAUAUAAGAUAGGAAAUAAUAUUUUUGAAGUAAUGAUUAAAAAUAUAUUUUAUAAAAGCUGUAUAUACAUUAAAUUAAUACUCUACAUGAUUAGCUAUGAUACAGUGACUAGAAUAUGUGAUACAGCCAUUGAGAAUGAUAUUGUACAAAUAAUUUCAGGUUGCAUUGUAUUUGAAAUAAACUCCUAAAGACAGCAGCUAAUUUCUCUCAAUUACAUUGGAUCUGAGAGAAUUAACAUUAUAGUGGUUACAUUGAGACAGGUUGAUAUAGUUAUAUGUUAUCAGUCAUCUUGCAUUCAUAUAGAUAUUUUGCUUUAUAUCAUUAUGAAUAAUUAAUUUUUAUUCAUUGCCACAACUUGAAUUUCCUAUACCACUAACCAUAUUAAAUUCACAUUUACAUGUAUUACACAUAUCGCAAGAUAGGCAGAAAACCCACUUUCCAUGUUGCCUAGUGUGAGCCUUUGACAACUUUUAAGACUCUCUCAAUCAAAGCUAUUAGCCUUUGUGGUAUAUAUGUUAUAAUUCAGUGUUCUACGUUUCUAAAUGUAGGACAAAUCUUGCUGGUGGGUUUUCACGAUUAUUUCUCCAUGGAAAAAUUAUAUUGUGGAGAAUGUACUGUGAAACUCAAUUCUCAACAUGUUGGCAGUUUCUGCUUUUGAUGAGAACACAAGACCAUGAUAUAAUUGAAAUAUGCAAAGUUUAAAUUAUAUUGACCUUCUGAUACCAUCCAUAGGACUGUUCUAAAAUACUCUUUUAUUAGUAAUUUCAUUAUGUAUUUUAUUAGCACUGUUAUUCAUGGAAUAUAUAAAUUUCAUCAUGCCGCCCUAUAGUCAGAGCUUCAUGAUCAGAAAGCAGGAAGAAAUUAAAGAAGGCAUUGGAAUAAUACUUUUACUGUGGAUUGAGACAAAGAAUGAAUAAAUUUGAAAUUGAAAACAAUCUUUACUAUUGUCUCAAAAACAUACCAUAAUGUCAAUACUAUAGUGGCUACAAAAUGUAUGAUCAUUUCACACAGAAGAGAAUAUCUUGUUCUUCAAAACUACUAUCAAUGAUUUUGUCUUGAAAAUGAGAGAUAGUAAUGAAGACUGUCAUGCAUUUCUUACAUGCUUAAAGUUUCUCCCCAGUAUGGAUUUUGAGGUGAAUUUGAAUAUGUGAGGUAUUGGUAAAAUACUUUGUACAUUCUUUUGACUUGUAUUUUUUUUCCUAUAUGGGUUCCAGUAUAUACUGAAGACCAGCUGAGAUAUUGAUACUCAGGCACAAGUACUGAAGCACUACUGGAUUCUUCAAAUUCUCAUUGAUUUACACCUCUGUUUGGACUAAUUGGCCCACAGCAUGAGACCCACUCUAAUAAAUCCAUUUUCAAUACUUAUAAAGUAAAUGAUUAAAAUGAAUAAAUAAAUAAAUGAUAAAAAUAUGGUUG